GUGUAAUUAUGUAACCACUAUCAGCAAGAUCCUAACCUCUAGUGAUCUGGUCGCUUUACAAAACAAUUCUCCAGAGUUUGAUCCACUCCAGAAGAAGGUAAAUAAUGACACACCAUUAGAGCAUUCAGUCAAUUGUUUAUUCCGUCCAACAACUGUCGUUCAGAGUGAAGUCGUACAUUUCAACCCAGAUGACCAAUGUCAGUUUUGUCAACGAAGGACGAGCUACCAGGAGACAAAAGGGUGGAUGAAGCAGUCUCUUG